UACAGAGGUCCCAAGCGUUGUUCGGAUUCACUGGGCGUAAAGGGUGCGUAGGUGGUGAGGUAAGUCGGAUGUGAAAUCUCCGAGCUCAACCCGGAAACUGCAUUGGAAACUACCUUGCCCGAGGGUUGGAGGGGGGACUGGAAUGCUUGGUGUAGCAGUGAAAUGCGUAGAUAUCAAGCGGAACACCAGUGGCGAAGGCGAGUCCCUGGACAACUCCUGACACUGAUGCACGAAAGCUAGGGGAGCAAACAGG
rnacentral:rRNA from 1 species